AUUUUAGACUAUUCUUUG
rnacentral:tRNA from 1 species